AUGGCAGGACCACAUCAAAACAUCAGCAAUGACAACAAUGAAGAAAGAGACAGAUUUAGUGGCAAACCUCCAGUCUUUGAUGGAGAGAACUUUGAUUACUGGAAAGACAGAAUUGAAAGCUUCUUUCUGGGGGAUAUGGUGACUGAUAGAUACACGCACCCAGUGAAUGCAAGUGGUCAGAAGAUUGACAGGAAAGCAAUGUCUGAUCAACAAAAGCGUGAUUUCAGAAAUCAUCACAAAGCAAGAACAAUUCUUCUCAGUGCCAUCUCUUAA